CAGCAGCCGCGGUAAUACGAAGGGGGCUAGCGUUGUUCGGAUUUACUGGGCGUAAAGCGCACGUAGGCGGACUUUUAAGUCAGGGGUGAAAUCCCGGGGCUCAACCCCGGAACUGCCUUUGAUACUGGAAGUCUUGAGUAUGGUAGAGGUGAGUGGAAUUCCGAGUGUAGAGGUGAAAUUCGUAGAUAUUCGGAGGAACACCAGUGGCGAAGGCGGCUCACUGGACCAUUACUGACGCUGAGGUGCGAAAGCGUGGGGAGCAAACAGGAUUAGAUACCCGCGUAGUCCCUGUCUCUUAUAA
rnacentral:rRNA from 1 species